rnacentral:rRNA from 1 species
AUUGAACGCUGGCGGCAGGCUUGACACAUGCAAGUCGAGCGAGCGGCGGACGGGUGAGUAAUGUCUGGGAAACUGCCUGAUGGAGGGGGAUAACUACUGGAAACGGUAGCUAAUACCGCAUACCAUCAGAUGUGCCCAGAUGGGAUUAGCUAGUAGGUGGGGUAAUGGCUCACCUAGGCGACGACCCCUAGCUGGUCUGAGAGGAUGACCAGCCACACGGGAACUGAGACAGGGGCCAGACUUCUACGAGAGGCAGCAGUGGUGAAUAUUGCACAAUGGGCGCAAUCCUGAUGCAGCCAGGCCGCGUGUGUGAAGGAGGCCUUCAGGUUGUAAAGCACUUUCAGCGGGGAGGCGUUACUCGCAGAAGAGGCAGCGGCUAACUCCGUGCCAGCAGCCGCGGUAAUAC